AUCCUACUGUCCUACACCUCCGUUCCCCUGUCUCCCUUCUUGUUUUCUAUCACGAUAAACUACUAGAACUGCUGGGGCUGGGAUUGGCAGUCUGUUUUCCACCCAGGCUAGAACUCCUGCAUCCCUCAACCAUAUUCACAUCACAGACGGAUCUUCUCAAACCGAAAGGUAGGAUUGAGAAGAAAAGUCCUUAUUUGCAGGAGCUACAAGAUUGAAGGCAAGGUAUAAAUGAUGCUUCGUUGCUUAAAGUCUACUACUAUAUACUUUUUCCUAUAGAACCCAGUUUUCUGUAAUGCACGGCCUACUUUUUAGCCACUUUAAACAUGCAUGGGUUAAUCUCUUCAACGAGCAUGGUUAAGCUAACCCCCCUAAUUCUUAUUCAUGUGCUCAGAGCCUUAACUGUCUAAUAACACAUCUCUGUUGAGCUUUUGCUCUCUAUAUACAUUUCGAUACGAGGUAUUGUUACAGGAUAAAAGUAAUUCUUCUUUAAGCCUUCAUAUUCAGUUUUGGCCUAUUACCUGUGUAGAACCAACUAAUAUUUAGUUGCUACAAAUGAUUUUAUUUUGUACUCUAAUAUCUUUCCUGUAAUAGGCUCCAGAAAGCUUUUGACCUACUGAAUUUGUAAGUGCGGAUAUUAUACGAUUUUCUUCACAUUAUUACUGCAAUUGGAUUUUAUUUUCGCAAUGGGUAAUAUAUCUACUUCCCUGAUAUAAGGAACAUAACUACUUCUGUGGUUAGUCUAUUUAUUCUAGAUGUGAUGGUAGGAUGCUGACAUUGGAGGAACAAGCAAGCGAAUCGGGAACAAAGAGCCUUGUUGGUCAGACAAGUAAGAUGGAAGCCAGUUAGAUGAACCAUGUUAGAUGAACCUUGUUGUGUAUUUUAUCUAAUGGUGUCAAACCAUGUUGUUCAUGAUGUGGCGAUGAACACUGUUGGUCAUGGACGUUAAUUAGAUGCAUGGAUUGUGAAUCCUUGAAUGUUUCAAAAUGUUGGUUUCAAACUUAGAUUGCUUGGAAAUAUUGGUUUUAAACA